rnacentral:rRNA from 1 species
GAGCCAGACUCCUACGGGAGGCAGCAGUGGGGGAUAUUGCACAAUGGGGGGAACCCUGAUGCAGCGACGCCGCGUGGGUGAAGAAGCGCCUCGGCGCGUAAAGCCCUGUCAGCAGGGAAGAAAAUGACGGUACCUGAAGAAGAAGCCCCGGCUAACUACGUGCCAGCAGCCGCGGUAAUACGUAGGGGGCAAGCGUUAUCCGGAUUUACUGGGUGUAAAGGGGGCGCAGACGGCAGCGCAAGCCAGGAGUGAAAGCCCGGGGCCCAACCCCGGGACUGCUCUUGGAACUGCGCGGCUGGAGUGCAGGAGGGGCAGGCGGAAUUCCGUGUGUAGCGGUGAAAUGCGUAGAUAUACGGAGGAACACCAGUGGCGAAGGCGGCCUGCUGGACAUUAACUGACGCUGAGGCGCGAAAGCGUGGGGAGCAAACAGGAUUAGAUACCCCGGUACC